GCAUGGCGGGCGCCAACGGUUGCUUUCCCCCGGUAGGGGCAACUUGGCCGCCGAGAGCGGAGGUGGAGAUCGGGCCUUGGGUGGGCAGGGGUUUCCGCACGUCCCGGAGCGACCGGUGAAGUCUACUCGACCCACCCUCUGCAAACACUGAGGAAAGAGAGUCCAAGUAUUGAGGAUUGGCAGCGUCCAUGGAAUGUUCUACCAAAGUGAAUUAGUUCCGUCAGCAAGGAGGACUUAAAACUGAAAAAAGAACAAAUACUGGAGCGUAUGGAGGCAACCGACAGGGAGUUCACGGACAGUAUGACCUGGCUGAUGACGAACAUUGAAAAACUGACUAAUUCUGUUGCAUUAAUAAAGCACCUUGUUAAAUGUAUAAAACAUGUCUGCAUCAGUGUUAUCCUGUAUUUCCAUACAAUGCUACAUUAGGCUGUUACACAUUUAUUGUCAGAGAAGUACUUGCAUAAAUAGGUAAACCACCUUCAUACAAGUAAGGACAGAAAACAGGGCAAAGUGAGUAUACUUAUUUAUUUAGUAAGCUAUGGGUCAAAGUAUUUGGUAAGUACAUUUCUAACUCUUCUGGCUUCAGUCUCAUUGCCGUCUGCUCUGAAAUUGUUAGGUUAUGUGGGGGUUGCGUUUAAGAAAACAAUGAAAUGCCACGCUGCGGCCAUCUGUUCUGGCACGUCGUGACAGCGUUUUUAAAUAGUC